GUCCCGCCCCCUCCAUAGGCCCCGCCCCGGUCAGCUCACGCCCCGCCCCCGGCCCCGCCUCCUGCCGCCAGGGCGCGCAGCCGAGGGGUAUGGGGUCGCUGCACCUACCCCCAACUUGGCGCGUUUCGGCCAGGACCUCAGGGCCCAGGUGCACCGUGCUGGGCGCGGGAGGCGUCCCCAAGCUGCUGUCGCGCUCCGAGCCCCCGAGGAGGUGGCAGCAGGGCCGCGCCUGAGGACAGGCAUGCAGCGUCUGCCCAGGAGUGCAGCCCGGGUGCCGGGAGAACAACCCAUUCCUCCCUCCCUCAAGCACCUUGGACAAUCUGGGAGGGCUCCCCAAAGGAGGUGAGCACCUUGGACAAUCCGGGAGGGCUUCCUGAAGGAGUUGAUGCCACAGUGGUUGGCUUUGCAAAGACAGCAAGCUUUGCUCACAUUGCUCUCUGGGGCUGGAACCUGGGCAGGCAUGAGGCCCCCUAGUCAGUGUUGGCCUCAAGGUCCUAGUACAGGCAACCAAUCCCUGUCUCACGGAAGGGGAGAAUUGCUGACCCAUGCUGCGGGAGUCUGCAUCUGAAAAGGUCACUGGGGCCUGAGAGGGCAGCUCCCAGAACAGUGUGAAGUGUCCAGGAGGCCAGAGACACCUAUAGGAGAACCUCCAGAUAUUGCAUCUAUUUCGUCUACCUCCUGGUUGUGUCGUGCCCCAGGGAUGCCAGCCUCACACCGUGGCUCUUCCGGAAGGUGUGGGGCCAGGCCUGCUGCACUUACUGCUUUGGGCUAAUGAUUCAGAGAGUGAAGGGUGCUUUCUCCCCAGAGGAAGGAGCGAAGGCCUUUGCAGGAGAUGACACACUGACGAAGGUUUCCCAUGCCCUCUCCAAGAAAACUGAUGGACAACAGGGCUGCAUCCUGGGCGGGGGCUUACCUGGGAACCACGUGGGACCAGGUCCGGAGAACCAUCCUCUAGCCAGCUCAUCUUAGAGCCAGCUCGUCGUCCAACCCAGUGCUAGCUGAUAGAACCUUCUGCAACGAUGGGAAUGUUCUGUAACUGGAUAACCCCAGUAGAUGACUACUGGGUACUGGAAAUGUGGCCACAAGGAACCGAAUUUUUCAUUGUGUUUCAUCGUAAUUUAAAUUCACAUGGCCCUGGGUGGCCAGUAGCGCUCACAUUGGACAGAACAGCUCUAUCAUCAUCAUCUGUGCUCUACCGGUUUUCUUGGUGGUUAAUUUGUAAACUGGUUUUGGCUUCAUGCCUGCGUAAGAACUGCAAGCACUAGUAGUUUAUGCCUGGUUUUACGUUUUGUGCCUGUCAAAGUGACAUUAUAAGAAAAGACACUAUAUGGUCACUUGAGAGUCUUCGAGGAUUCUUUUUGUUUAGAAGGGAAUGGAAAAGAGUUCCAGUGUGAGGAAACAUUUCUCUGGAUGUCCUGGACACCUGCUCUCCCAUCAGCUCCCUGCUGUCCCCAGUGAUGGGGACAUUUCCCGUUAACGGUGUGGGCUGUGUCCUCAGCAGGGGGCGGUAGGUGGAGGGAGACACUGACUCCACUCUCAGGAAGUGGAAGGAGGGGGCAGAUCCAUGCACACUGUGUCCUUGACCACCAGCCUCAGAAGCAGGCCAUGCCUGGCCAGCAGCCAGCCUGCCUGUCCUCUUCAGCCAUGCAUCAAAUAUUUAGUGGGUGCCUGCUGUGUGCCAGGCACUGUUCCAGGCCCUGGCUGUGGGAGCCAGGCAGCAGACCCCUCCCCUUGAGGAUCUGCAACUCUGGCGGAGAUGACAGGUGUCACAGCACGAUGGUCAUAUCAGUGCUGGGGAGGGACGGAAUUCCUAGGAUGCUUGCUAGAGGGUCACGGGGUUGGGGCACUCCUCAACCACGGGGCUGAGGCACUCCAAGUGCAGAGGCUUGGAAGAGCCACAGUGGAUCCAGGCCCUGAUGCCUGAGAAGGAGCCAGCUAGGCAGAGCCGGGGAGGAGCACUCCAGACAGACAGCAAUGAACCAUCCAAAAAUGAAGUGAAGAAGACAAUCUCAUUUAUAAUAUUGGCAAAAAGAACAUACCUAGAAAUAAAUGCAGCAAAAGAUGCAUAAAACUUGUGUACUGAAAAAUACAAAAUAUUUUUGAAAGGAAUCAAAGAGUAUCAAAUUAAAUGGAAAGAUAUCCUGCAGUCAUGGAUCAGGAGACAUAAUGUUAAGAUGGCCAAACUCCCGAAUUCAUCUAUAGCUUCACAAUCUCUAUCAAAAUCCCAUCUGUCUUUUUACAAGCUGAUGCUCAAAUUCAUAAGGAAAUACAAGGGUUUCAGAAUAGCCAAAACAAUCUAGAAAGAGAAGAGCAAAACUGGAGGGCUCACAUUUCCUGAUUGAAACUUACUGCAAAGCUACAGUAAUCAAGACAAUGUGGUACUGGCAUAAGGAUAGACAUACAGAUCAAUGCAGUAAAGUUGAGACUCCAAGAACAAAUCUUUGCAUUUAUGGUCAAUUGAUUUUUUUAAAGACUGUUCAAGUGCAGCAGUGAGAAGGCGGGAAAGAGUAGAACGAGGUGUUCCAUCUGUAACUGACUGUGAACAAUCAAUUGAGAUAACUCACUACCUUCAGACCGGCCAUCAGUUGAUUUUUGAUAAGGGUACCAAGACAAUUCAAUGGGGGAAGGAAUAGUCUUUUCGGAAAAUGGUGCUGGGACAACUAGAUAUCCAUGUGCAAAAGAAUGAAGUUGGACCCCUACCUCAUGCUGUGCACAAAAAUUAACUCAAAAUGGAUCGUAGACCUAAAUGUAAGCACUAAAAUUAUGAAAUCCUUAGGAAGGCCAGGCGCAGUGGCUCACACCUGUAAUCCCAGCAGUUUGGGAGGCUGAGGCAAGUGGAUCACCUGAGAUCAGGAGUUUGAGUCCAGCCUGGCCAACAUGGUGAAACCAUGUCUCUGCUAAAAACACAAAAAUUAGCUGGGCAUGGUGGUGGGCGCCUGUAAUCCCAGCUACUCGGGAGGCUGAGGCAGAAGAAUCGCUUGAACCCAGGAGGCAGAGGUUGCAGUGAGCUGAGAUUGUGCCAUUGCACUCCAGCUUUGGCGACAGAGAGACACUUUGUCUCAAAAAAAAAAAAAAAGAAAAAAGAAAAAAAAGAAAAGAAAAAAUAAAAUCCUUAGGAAAGAACAUAGGAAUAAAUCUUGGUGACCUUGUGUUAAACAAUGGUUUUUAAUAUACACUACCAAAAGCACAGGCAACAAAAGAAAAAAUAGAUAAAUUGGACUUGGCCAAAGCUAAAAACAUUUGUGCAUCAAAAGACACCAUCAAGGAAGUGGAAAGACAACCCAUGAAAUGACAGCAAACAUUUGUGAAUCAUCUAUUUGAUAAGGGACUAGUAUCUAAACAUGUAAAGAACUCUAACUUAUCAACAAGAAGACAAACCACCUACCUUUAAUGAUGGGCAAAGGAUUAGAAUAGAGCUUGCUCCAAAGAAGAUGUACAUAUGACCGAUAAGCUCAUAAAAAGAUGUCCCCAUCAUUAGUCAUCAGGGAAAUGCAAAUCAAAACACAGCGAGAUACCACGAUGCACCCAUCAAGAUGGCUAUAAAUAAAAGAGACAGACAAUAACAAGUGUUGGCAGAGGUAUGGAGAAGUUGGAACCCUCCUUCAUUGCUGGUGGGAAUGCAAAAUAGUGCAGCCACUUCGGAAAACAGACUGACUGUUUCUCAAAAUGCUAAAUAUAGAGUUUCCAUAAAAAUCAGCAAUUCCAGUCCUAGAUAUACGUGUGUGUGUGUGUGUGUGUGUAUCCAAGAGAAAUGAAAGCAUAUGUCUGUAUAACAGUAUGCACAUGCAUGUUCAUAGCAGUACUGGUUUGUUUUGUUUUGUUUUGUUUUGUUUUUUGAGACAGAGUCUUGCUCUGUUGCCCAGGCUGGAGUGCAGUGGCGCGAUCUUGGCUCACUGCAACCUCUGCCCCCCGGAUUCAAGAGAUUCCCCUGCCUCAGCCUCCUGAGUAGCUGAGAUUACAGGCACGCACCACCAUGCCUGGCUAAUUGUUGUAUUUUUAGUAGAGAUGGGGGUUUCACCAUGUUGGCCAGGCUGGUCUCAAACUCUUGGCCUCAAGUGAUCCACCUGCCUCAUCCUCCCAAAGCGCUAGGAUUACAGGCAUGAGCAACUGCACGCAGCCAGCACUAGUUUUAAUAGCUAAAAAGUGGGAACAAUUCAAAUGUUCAUCAAUGAAUAAAUAAAUAAACAAAAUAUCGGUCUAUGCAUACAGUGGAAUAUUAUUCAGCCAUAACAAUGAAUGAAGUACCGAUACAAGCUACAACAUGGAUGAACUUUGAGGGUAUGAUGCUGAGGGAAAGAAGCCAAACCCAAAAGACCAUUGUGAUUCCAUUUUUUUCAAGUGUUUAGAAUGGGCAAAUUAAUAGAGAUGGAAAGUAGAUUGGUGAGUGGCUGCCUGGGGCUUCGUGGACUGGAUGGGGAGUGGCUGCUAACAGGUGCCUACGGGGUUCUGUCUUUGGGAUGUUGAAAAUGUUCUAAAAGUAGGCAGUGGUGAUGGUUGCACAAUUCUGAGACUACUCUAAAGUCACACCAACUAAGUCUACAGUUUAUGCUAAGUUUUAUGUCAUGAGAAUUUUAUCUCAAAAAAGGUAUAAAAGACCUUCCAAAGGCCAGGUGCAGUGGCUCACGCCUGUAAUCCCAGCACUUUGGGAGGCCGAGAUGGGCAGAUCAUGAGGUCAGUAUAUCGAGACCAUCGUGGCUAACACGGUGAAACCCCGUCUCUACUAAAAAUACAAAAAAAUUAGCCUGGCACAAUGGCGGGUGCCUGUAGUCCCAGCUACUCGGGAGGCUGAGGCAGGAGAAUGGCGUGAACCCAGGAGGCGGAGCUUGCAGUGAGCCGAGAUCGCGCCACUGCACUCCAGCCUGGGGAACAGAGCGAGACUCCAUCUCAUAACAAAAAACAAACAAUCUUCCAAAAUACCAAUAAAACCAACCAACAGAGAAGGGCUUCAGAUGUGUGUUGCUGGAGGCAGUGGGCUGGGGAGGCUGAGGCUGUGGGCUGGGGAGGCUGGAGGCGGCCACCCUUCGUCAGGGACAUAUUUGCCUUCCUCCAGUUGGUCUUGAGUUGGGGGCAAAAAUAGGGAACCUGGCAGCCGUUAGCCGUGGCCUGAGUCUCUGGGGUGAUUGCUACAGAGGUGUGGUUUGGCUUCCAGGCUUCUCAGGGGUCAGAGUUCUACUGACAUACGUGAUCCGGCCGCUGCCCGCUGGCAUGGUUAGUCUUUCCUCCUUGUGUAGAAAGCCAGGAUAAAAACUGCCCUAUGUCCAGCAUUGACAGGCAGGGCUGAGUGCCAUCUGGGGCCUGGGGCACAUGUGUAGCUAUCUUCUCCAGGGGCUCCUGGCUGGCACUAUUCUUGCCCAGGGGGCCCUGCCCUUGUAGGGCUCCCAGUCUAGAGGGGGAAAACAUGAAAUAGGUGGACACGUCAGUCAAUUCAAGAAUUUGGGGUAGUGACCCCAGCUACAGAGAAACCAAGAGGUAGUGGGAAAAGGGAUGAUUUGGGGCCUAGCAGUCAGGACCAAGCACGCCGGGCAGGGACACUGCUCUGAGACCUUUGCCUGACACUUGGGGGAUGAGGGGGCCCUUCCAGGCCCCAGGUAUAGCAAAGGCCCAAGGCCAGAGAGUGCUGGAGGGGACCCUGGGGCGAGGCGGGGCUGGGAGCCUCCGUUACUGCGCGGGUGCUCAAAGGUGUGGAGCCCUGGGGGACAGGGCACGCAGGGCCCGAGUCGUGCUUUCAAACCUCUCUGGUCGAAGGGCAAGAACAGACCUUGGGGCCAGAUGGGAAGCAGGAAGACCAGUGAUUGCUUCCUGCAGGGGCCAGGCCAGAGCUGACAGCAGCUGGGAGUGGAGGCAGAGAUGGCGGAGAGGUCCCAAGAAAAGGGCCCUCUCUGCUUUCAGGACAGUAAAUAGUCCCCCUCGUGAGGUUUGCAGGGGGAUGCAAGGCUUGGGGGGCAGGGAGGGGAGGGGACCCCAAGGAGGAGGGGAGGACUGAGCACCAGAGGGUGUGGGGUGCUUUCAGGUUCAUGCAUGCAUGCAUGGAUGUGGGGUGAGAUGCGGGACUGGGCACACCCCAUGGGGUGGGCCAGGGGUGGGAAGCCUGAGCAUGCAGUGCCCAGGGGGGUCUCGAUGAGAUGUCCCGGGGGUCUCUUUGGAGACCCCAAGUCAUGGGAUCCCCUAAACUCUCCGGCAGUUUGCGGUGAUGGCGUGCGGGAUGGGAGUCUCUCCCGGCGCUGCAGGGCUCUGGGGGCCUCCCCUUCGUUCUUGCUCUGGGUGGGAGACAGGAGGAAGGAGCAAUUCAGAAGCCCGGCAGUAGAGAGGAUGCUGUAGGCACAGGCUGAGGCCUGGUUGACCUCUGAGGGUCCAUGAUCUUGACCAAGAGCAGCAGGCAGUGGCCAGGCAGGGCCACGGAAGCCCAGGAUGGACAUCAGAGUAGUGCCCUACCGUGGAGAUCUCGUCCCCUCAGAGGAUCCCGGCCAGCACCUGCACAUCCUGGCGCACACACUGUUAUCAUCAUGAGGACUCCUGGGUAUGAGAAGGGCUGGUGAGGCUCUGAUACCAUCUCCUCCCCAGGAUCCCUGGCAGGCAGCGGAAUCCAGAAGUCCGGGCUGAGCUGAGCAGGGGGAGUGGGGUUGGGGCCUCCCGGGUGGGCCCAGGAGGCUGGUGGCUGUACUCCGUGACUCUGUGGGCCUGGCUUGAGGGGGAAGACAGUGAAUAGUCUGCCUAUUUACUGUCUCCAGCUGGGGCUCCCCUUUGCUGAUGGGGUCCCCUCUCCAGGGUGGCUCCCCUCCACUGAGGGUCUCCUCUCCCUGGACCGAGUGACCCCUGUCUGCGUCAGCAGGUUGGGGGCAGGUGGGGCUGGCUGGCACCUGUCAUUGAUUUAUUAAUAAAUCAAUAAUUUUGGGGGUGGCUGCCUGCUGGAGGUGGGAUGGGUGGUGGAGGAGUCACCUUCACUCUUGUCUAAACCCAUGAGUUUUUGUUCAACACUGGGAUGGGGGAAGCAGCUUGUUAGGACCCUGUUCCCUGAGGAGGGAUGGGUGAGGCUGUUGGGGUGAGGCUGUCUGUCAGCCGUGACCAGAGCUGGCUGAGCUACCCUAGGCUUCAUGUCCCCAGGUGCAGCAUAGCCAUGAGACGCCCAGGGGCCUCUGAUCCCCUUCCUACAAGCUGCGUGUAGUUUAAAGGGUCUGGGAGCGCAGAAGAGGACGCAGGCCUGCUUUUCCACACUGGCUCCGUUCCCUUCGUGCGGGUGCCAGCCAGGCCCGGCCUUUUCUGGCCAGGGUCACCGUGUCCUGGACCCAGCCCUGACCCCUCCGUUCCCUACCGUGUUGUCACCAUCCCCUGUGAGGAGGGACCCCUGAGGCCUCUUUCUCCCGCUCUAGAGGCUCUUCUGGACCCCUGAUCCUCACAGCCUGGGCCUCCCCAGAGGCUUCUGGGGCCACUGGUUCCCCGUACAAGCUGAUACCAGCCGUUAAUGACAUUGCCUUGUUUACUUCAGCAUGAGCUGGGCCACAGAGGGGAAGCUGUGUUGCUGAAGGGGACUCUGAAGAUUCCCAUUGGAGGGGCUGCCUGGCUGAGACCUGAAUAAGUGGGCAGUGCCCAAGAACAGAAAGGGGAGGUUGUCAGAUGCUGGCCAGCCCUGCCUAGCCCCAACCUGCAGACACAGAUAGGGCGGAGGGGUCACCCAACCCAGGAAGGGGAGCUCAUCUAUGGAGGGGAGCCCCCCUGGAGUAGGGACCCCAUCAGAGGACCCCGUCAGCAGAGGGGAGCCCCCCCGGAGAGGGGACCCUGUCAGCAGAGGGGAGCCCCACCUGGAGAGGGGACCCUGUCAGCAGAGGGGAGCCCCACCUGGAGAGGGGACCUCAUCAGCUGAGAGGAGACCCACCUGGAGAGGAGACCCUGUCAGCAGAGAGGAGACCUAGCUGGAGAGGGGACCCUGUCAGCAGAGAGCAGCCUCACCUGGAGAAGGGACUUCAUCAGCCAAGGGAGCCCCAGAUGGAAAGGAGACCCUGUCAGUGGAGAGGAGCCCCAGCUGAAGAGGGGACCCCAUCAGUGGAGGGAGCCCAGCUGAAGAGGGGACCACAUCAGUGGAGGGAGACCCAGCUGGAGAGGGGACCCCAUCAGUGGAGGGAGCCACAGCUGGAGAGGGGACCCCAUCAGUGGAGGGAGCCCCAGCUAGAGAGGGGACCCCAUCAGCAGAGGGAAGCCACAGCUGGAGAGGGGAACCCAUCAACAGAGGGGAACCCACAGGGGUAUCCAGAGGGAAGGCCAGGUUGGGUAUCCUGGGAGUGGGAAGUUGGGUCAGAGGUGAGGCUUUUGCAGCGAGCAAGCUUGUUUCAGGUUGGGAGUGCCCAGCGGGCAGUGGGGGUUGGUGGACGCAGCAGGGAGGAAGUUCCAGGGUCUUUGACAGCGGCUGCUCCCCACUGCAGAGCUGACAAUCUCUUGAGGACUCCAAGAAUGAACGGAUGGCCAAGCCUGGGCCUCCACUGGGAACAGCACCACUGUGGAAGAGGAGGGAGGUUGUGCUCAUGUAGGGGGCAGGCUGGAGAGACAAGCUUUGGGUGGAUGAUGGUUUGCUUCUUAGGUGAAGGAAAAUGAAGAGCCACCUGCAGCCAUCGCUCUGCUCUCCAAAUCAAUCCUGAAUAAGUGGGAGAGAAAAACUUAAAAAUGAGACCAGUGAAUGGAAUGGGAGGUGGGACGAGGAUGUGGCAGAAGAGGGGGCCGCCCCACUCCUGUUGGACGUGGGGGCACUGGGAGCCACAUGCAUGCCAGGGACGCCGAGCCCCUGGCCCUGGGCCAGCCUCACUGGCAGUGGCUGGGGACAGUGGGUCUCUGUGCCUCCUCCUCGUCUCUGCGGUCCCUGGCUGGGUGCCCACCCUCUCCCUCAUCUCGCCGUCUGCCUUCCUUUCAUUUCUUUUUGGCAUGGUUCUCUCACUGUCCAGGAAGGAACUUGGCGUCUUGCACCCCAGGCGGGCAGAGCCAGGAGCCCAGCUGACCCAGAAGGGCUCGGGUGGAGUGGGUGGGUGGUGGGAAAGCAGCUGGAGCCCCUGAAUGCAGAGCCUGCCCCGUCUGCCGUGCCUGGAGGGCACCCCUCACUCCUCAGGCUCUCCAGAAGGUCAGCUAUGGGGGCAGGGUCUGGGCCCAUUCUGGACCCUGCUGUAUCCCAGGAACCAUUUAAAUGGAGGCCUGGCACAGACUAGGGGUUCAUUUGUUAAAUGAAUAAGCAAAGCUCAAAGCCCCCUAUGUUCCUUGCCUGAGCCAAGAAGGAAGCCUGGGCCUGGCCUCUGAGUCCACCCACCCUCCUUGUGAGGUAGGAAGGCAGUGGCAUUGCAUAACUGACCACCUACGGGACCGGGCCACGCCGAGAGGGAGCAGGCGCCUUGAUGCUCCUAGAUCGUCGGCCAGACUCCCCCUCCCCAGUCCUUGGAGCCUCCUUGCUUCUUCAACCCCUGUCAGAGUCCGUGGGGCAAGGCGAGACUGGGAACACUGUCUCCUCCCCCAGACGUGGCUGAUCUCAGCCUGGAGCCCCACCCCAGGGCUGCACAGGACCAGGGUCCAGAUCAUCAGCCCAGGAUGCACGGUGGACUGUGUGUGCCCAGCACUCGUGCACCGAGAGACCCGUCUUGUUUCCCAUGAGCCCCUCGGUGCUGGGUGCCGGGUGAGAGCAUAGCCCUGGUGACCCUGGUGGUCUUCUCCAGACUCUGAUGUUUCCUUCCAGUCCCCCGGCCCUCCCCUCAAUGUGCAGUGUGUGUGGGUUGAGGGGGCUGCUGUGGUCUGAAUGUGUCCCCCAUCUCUGUAAUCAUGAUGGACUAACAUCAUUGUCAUGGGAGCGGGCUCUGACAGAAGGAGGAGUUUGGUCCCCUUCUCUCUGGCUGUCUCUCUCCCUCUCUUUGCCCUUCUGUCGUGGGAUAAGGCAGCACAAAGGCCCUUGCCAGAGGUGGCCUGUCGAUCUCGGACCUCCCAGCCUCUAGGACCAGGGGCCAAUAAGUUAGCCAGUCUGUGGUUUUCUGUUCUAACAGCACACGAUGGACUAAGACCACAGGCCAAGUCUCCCCAGUGUAUCACCAUUAGGCCACACCCUGAUACGGUUUGGAUCUGUGUACCUGCCUAAAUCUCAUGUUGAAUUGUAAUCCCCAAUGCUGGAGGUGGCGCCUGCUGGGAGGUGAUUGGCUCAUGGGGGUGGAUUUCCCCCCAGUGCUGUUCUUGUGAUAGUGAGUUCUCAGGAGACCUGCUUGUUUAAAGGCAUAUGGCACCUCCCCUCUCUUCCUCUGGGCUUCCUCCUGCUCCGGCCACGUGAAGUGCCAGCUCCUCCUUUGCCUUCUGCCAUGAUUGUAAGUUUCCUGAGCCCGCCCCCAGAAGCCAUGUGGAUGCCAGCACCAUGCUUUCUGUAUAGCCUGGGGAACUGUAAGCCAAUUAAACCUCCUUUCUUUAUGAAUUA